rnacentral:misc_RNA from 1 species
AUUUUACUAGUUUUAGAUCUUUAUUUGGUUGGUCCUUGAGUGUUUGUAAAAUCAGGAAGAAAAAAAAUUAUGAUUUUGAAAACUAUUAGUGUGGAAAUUUCUCAAGGAAAAUUUCUGAAAUGGAUUCACAUAUUUUUUCGAGUAUUGGAAUUAUUUGUCCUGUGACAUAUGUUGCUGAAUAUAAUACUGAAAUAUUUCAAGUUAUAUAAUUGACACUAUCUUAUAGUAUGAAACUUUUUGAUGUCUUGGACAGAUCCACACCCACAUGUG